rnacentral:rRNA from 1 species
GAAUAUUGGACAAUGGGCGAAAGCCUGAUCCAGCCAUGCCGCGUGUGUGAUGAAGGCCUUAGGGUUGUAAAGCACUUUUAUCAGGGAAGAUAAUGACGGUACCUGAAGAAUAAGCACCGGCUAACUUCGUUCCAGCAGCCGCGGUAAUACGAAGGGUGCUAGCGUUGUUCGGAAUCACUGGGCGUAAAGCGCGCGUAGGUGGCUUCGCAAGUCAGGGGUGAAAUCCCAGAGCUCAACUCUGGAAUUGCCUUUGAAACUGCGAAGCUAGAGUAUUGGAGGGGAUAGCGGAAUUCCUAAUGUAGAGGUGAAAUUCGUAGAUAUUAGGAGGAACACCGGUGGCGAAGGCGGCUAUCUGGACAAUUACUGACACUGAGGUGCGAAAGCGUGGGGAGCAAACAGG